AGCUUUGCUUUGAGAGCCCUGAGAUUUCUAGACCGGUCUUCCCGUGCCUGCAGAUGAUUCAAGCCAUACAAGUAUUAAGGUUUCAUCUAUUGGAAUUAGAGAAGGUACACGAAUUAUGUGACAAUUUCUGCCACCGGUAUAUUAGCUGUUUGAAAGGGAAAAUGCCUAUCGAUUUGGUGAUAGACGAUAGAGAAGGAGGAUCAAAAUCAGACAGUGAAGAUAUAACAAGAUCAGCAAAUCUAACUGACCAGCCCUCUUGGAACAGAGAUCAUGAUGACACGGCAUCUACUCGUUCAGGAGGAACCCCAGGCCCUUCCAGCGGUGGCCACACGUCACACAGUGGGGACAACAGCAGUGAGCAAG
rnacentral:lncRNA from 1 species